rnacentral:rRNA from 1 species
GUGAGGAAUCUUCCACAAUGGGCGAAAGCCUGAUGGAGCAACGCCGCGUGAAGGAUGAAGGUCUUCGGAUUGUAAACUUCUUUUAUGAGUGAAGAAUAUGACGGUAACUCAUGAAUAAGCACCGGCUAACUACGUGCCAGCAGCCGCGGUCAUACGUAGGGUGCAAGCAUUAUCCGGAGUGACUGGGCGUAAAGAGUUGCGUAGGCGGUUAUGUAAGCGAAUAGUGAAACCUGGUGGCUCAACCACACAGACUAUUAUUCGAACUGCAUAACUAGAGAAUGGUAGAGGUAACUGGAAUUUCUUGUGUAGGAGUGAAAUCCGUAGAUAUAAGAAGGAACACCAAUGGCGUAGGCAGGUUACUGGGCCAUUUCUGACGCUAAGGCACGAAAGCGUGGGGAGCGAACCGGAUUAGAUACCCCUGUAGUCC